UGACAACCUGGUUGAUCCUGCCAGUAGUCAUAUGCUUGUCUCAAAGAUUAAGCCAUGCAUGUCUCAGUACAAGCCAAAUUAAGGUGAAACCGCGAAAGGCUCAUUAAAUCAGUUAUGGUUCCUUAGAUCGUACCCACAUUUACUUGGAUAACUGUGGUAAUUCUAGAGCUAAUACAUGCAAACAGAGCUCCGACCGGAGACGGAAGGAGCGCUUUUAUUAGAUCAAAACCAAUCGGUGGCGGGCUUGCUCAUCAUCGUACAACUUGGUGACUCUGAAUAACUUUACGCUGAUCGCACGGUCUCGCACCGGCGACGCAUCUUUCAAAUGUCUGCCUUAUCAACUGUCGAUGGUAGGUUCUGCGCCUACCAUGGUUGUAACGGGUAACGGGGAAUCAGGGUUCGAUUCCGGAGAGGGAGCCUGAGAAACGGCUACCACAUCCAAGGAAGGCAGCAGGCGCGCAAAUUACCCACUCCCGGCACGGGGAGGUAGUGACGAAAAAUAACGAUACGGGACUCAUCCGAGGCCCCGUAAUCGGAAUGAGUACACUCUAAACCCUUUAACGAGGAUCAAUUGGAGGGCAAGUCUGGUGCCAGCAGCCGCGGUAAUUCCAGCUCCAAUAGCGUAUAUUAAAGUUGUUGCGGUUAAAAAGCUCGUAGUCGAAUCUGUGUCCCACGCCGCCGGUUCAUCGUACGCGGUGUCAACUGGCGUGUCGUGGGACGUCCUGCCGGUGGGCUUAGCUCGCAAGGGCGGCCCAACUCAAUCCCGCCGCGGUGCUCUUGACUGAGUGUCGAGGUGGGCCGGCACGUUUACUUUGAACAAAUUAGAGUGCUUAAAGCAGGCCAAAACUUUGCCUGAAUACUGUGUGCAUGGAAUAAUGGAAUAGGACCUCGGUUCUAUUUUGUUGGUUUUCGGAACCCCGAGGUAAUGAUUAAUAGGAACGGAUGGGGGCAUUCGUAUUGCGACGUUAGAGGUGAAAUUCUUGGAUCGUCGCAAGACGGACAGAAGCGAAAGCAUUUGCCAAAAACGCUUUCAUUGAUCAAGAACGAAAGUUAGAGGUUCGAAGGCGAUCAGAUACCGCCCUAGUUCUAACCAUAAACGAUGCCAGCUAGCGAUCCGCCGACGUUCCUCCGAUGACUCGGCGGGCAGCUUCCGGGAAACCAAAGCUUUUGGGUUCCGGGGGAAGUAUGGUUGCAAAGCUGAAACUUAAAGGAAUUGACGGAAGGGCACCACCAGGAGUGGAGCCUGCGGCUUAAUUUGACUCAACACGGGAAACCUCACCAGGCCCGGACACCGGAAGGAUUGACAGAUUGAGAGCUCUUUCUUGAUUCGGUGGGUGGUGGUGCAUGGCCGUUCUUAGUUGGUGGAGCGAUUUGUCUGGUUAAUUCCGAUAACGAACGAGACUCUAGCCUGCUAACUAGGCG
rnacentral:rRNA from 1 species